rnacentral:rRNA from 1 species
AGGGUGUAAACGCUGCAGACUUGGUGUUGGAAGUCCUUUGGGGGCAUUCAGUGCCGGAGAGAAGUUGUUAAGUCUGCUACUUGGGGAGUACGUCCGCAAGGAUGAAACUUAAAGGAAUUGGCGGGGGAGCACCGCAACGGGAGGAGCGUGCGGUUUAAUUGGAUUCAACACCGGAAAACUCACCAGGGGAGACUGUUACAUGAAACCCAGACUAAUGAUCUUGGUUGACUUUCAGAGAGGAGGUGCAUGGCGUCAGUGACUGU